GAUGAACGCUAGCUACAGGCUUAACACAUGCAAGCCGAGGGACCGGCGCACGGGUGAGUAACACGUAUCCAACCUGCCCUUUACUCCGGGAUAGCCUUUCGAAAGAAAGAUUAAUACCCGAUAUAAAGGAUGGGGAUGCGUUCCAUUAGGUUGUUGGUGGGGUAACGGCCCACCAAGCCUUCGAUGGAUAGGGGUUCUGAGAGGAAGGUCCCCCACAUUGGAACUGAGUCACGGUCCAAACUCCUACAGGAGGCAGCAGUGCGGAAUGUUGGUGAAUGGGCGUUAGCCUGAACCAGCCAAGUAGCGUGAAGAAUGAAGGCUUAUGGGUCGUAAACUUCUUUUAUAUAAGAAUAUGUAUUAUAUGAAUGAGGAUCGGCUAACUCCGUGCCCGCAGCCGCGGUAAUAC
rnacentral:rRNA from 1 species